AACAAAUUCUCUCUUAAUACAGUACUUGGUACAAAUGAUGGCACCUCCUUUAUAAUCUAAGGCUGAAUACCGAAACACCCAAACCGCAAACCACAUCGACAUAAAAAAAAACAAAACGUCAUCUGUCAAAAAAUCCCACGUGCAUUUUCGUCGAUAUUGUAAUGAAAUUUUAUGUAAAUAAUAAUUAAAAUUAAUGAGUUCUAAUAUUUAAAUUAUGUGCAAAUGUUUGAUGCACAUAACUUGGAGGCUUUUCACCCUAUGCCUUUGUAUUUGUGUUAUUUUAUUCUCAUUCGUUUUUGGACCUCUUAACACUGUUAUAAUAUUGCUGGGUUAUGGAGAUGAGAACAACGACAUAUUCAAAAUAUUAUCUAAGGAGCCGGAAUUUGGAAUUCUAGUUAUAAUAAUAACGGGUUUAUUAUGGCUUCAUUUUAUAACAAAUAUCAGUCUAUUUCUAGGCCUGAUUCGGGACAAAAUUUCGUGGAUAACUUGCGCAAUUGUCCGGAAGGUGAGAUAUCAAUAAUAUGCCAAAGGGAGACCCUGUACUGCAACCUGCUGACCUAUUUGAACUACCUGAUGUACCUCCUACUCUUCGGAAGCCUCUUACUCCUAUUCGGCAGCAUCACAAAAAGUCUCUGCUUAAUUCAUUGCUGCACAGGAACUUUCAUCAUUAAUAUCGUCUUCUCCUUCAUCAUUUUCACGUGGUAUGCGUACUAUUGCCCCGUUCACGAUAAAUACUGCCUCGACCACAGUAAAGAUAGGGUCACAGAUGAUGUGAAUACUGUUUUUUGCUUGUUCUUUUUUAAUUUGUUCUAUAUAGCCUUUUUAGGUAUUUGCCUUUUUAUAAUUGGACAAUUUAAACUGACUUUGGAAUUCAA